CUACCGCUGUAAUUAAUUCUGUCCGUCCGAUUAGGCCAGUUAAUUAUGCAUUUCAAAAUUAACGUCCUAGGGGUAUUAUGGUAAGCUCGCAGGCAACAGUCCCACCUCGCACGACCGCAUCACGAGCUCCUCGAUCUCAAUCCCGGCGGUUCCCCAACCUCUGCCUCCCGCGUCACGACGGCGACAAAUCCUGGCCGCCGCCGAGCCCCUACGGCGACGCAGGAGCUUCCCAAUUCCGUCUUCAGUACCUUCCCUUCUGCAGCUAUUUUCUCACGGGCGCGCGACCCCGUGGACCGCGAUGGCAACAUCAAUGGGUUCGUCGGUGCUGGUGUAGGUGUAGAUGCUGUCUGGGCGGCUCUGCGGGGACAACGCCGACACCGUUGGAGGUGGAAGUUCGGAGAGCAGCCGCCGACGCUCGCCGGACGCACAUUUCUGCACCUCGCCUGACUCGGCCGCUCAACUUCUGGUAUGAUUAAUGCCAUUGAUUCUAUUUUUCGUGAAAAUUUGUUCGGCUGUAGUACCCGUGCUUGAACUGUUUAAGGCUCGUAUACACUAGUGUACCCGUGUUUGUCUGUAGUACCUGAGCCUCAAACAAAUUAUUUCUAAUAUCCUUAUGUUGAAUAGCUUCAGAAAGUUGGAGUAUCGCCUGCUUGAGUCUGUAUAUGAGUGUAAACUAGAUCAUAUAGACCACUGAAUCACACGGAUCUUCUAAGUAGUAUACUUAAAGCCCCAUUGCUAAAUCUGGCUAGUUACGCCUGAGAUAACUGAAUCCAAAAUUUUGGCCUGCGAUAUUGCUUCACUGUAUCUGGAAGCACUCUAGUUUUUCUUGCCACAUUGACAAACUUGCAAAGAGCGGUGUCAUCGGUCUUUUGAUGCAAUAUAGUUUUCAGGGGAUAUGCAAUUUAAUAUUACUAAGAAUGAAACUUAGAGUAUUCAGGAAUGUUUAUUCAUCUAUAUGAUUAAAGCAUAUAAGGAUCUUGAUCAUUCAACAAGCCUUUUUCCAAUACAUGAGCAGUGGAGUUAUAAUAAAAUCAUGAGAUAUAAAUGCAGAACCAUAGCAAUAACUCUUGGAUUAAGUCCUUCAUUUGUGGACACAGUUCUUCAUCCCUUACUAUGCCUAUCUUUUUGAAACCUUAGCAAUAACUCACAACUAUUCCUAUUUUUGUCGACAAACUUCGUGACCAAAUUUUAAGUCUCAUCGAUCUUGUGAGCUUCAACACCCUUUUGAUCCAAAAACUUCAGCUGCUUGGAGUUCUUGGCAAGCAGGAGGCGCAUUUUCUCUUCAGACUGGAAGGGAUAUUAUAGUAUAGAAGCUUCCACGGGUGUGCACAUUGCCCUGUUGGCUGUAUCCAUUUUCAGCUGAAGGAUAGGACUCAGGCAUAUGGCCGUGUGCUGCUACUGCAGCGGUCUACUCUGCUGCUAUCCCGGAGUACACUACUGCUGAGGUCCUGGAGCUGGCUAGGAACGCCAGUAAGGAUCUGAAGGUGGAGCGUAUCACCCCUCGCCAUCUUCAGCUGGCCAUCCGUGGAGAUGAAGAGCUGGAUACCCUCAUCAAGGGUACCAUUGCUGGUGGAGGUGUGAUCCCGCACAUCCACAGGUCCCUGAUCAAAGUAAUCCAUCCAGUUGUCUUGAAGUAACACAAUCUAGCAAAGGGAGUAUCUUUAGCUUAAACAGGACAUUUCACACUUGUAGUCUUGUGUGAGAUAAGCUACAUAUCUAUUAGCCUAUAGCUAUAUGCUUCCAGAUCGAAGUAAUCCGUCCUUGUAAUGCUUACCUGGCACUGCUUCAAUUAUUUGGAACAUUGUAUUCGUGUAUUCUUGUUCGUUUGUUCACUUCGUGAUAGACCCUGAAUGCAAAACCUUUUUA